CAGUAGGGAAUCUUCCGCAAUGGACGAAAGUCUGACGGAGCAACGCCGCGUGAGUGAUGAAGGUUUUCGGAUCGUAAAGCUCUGUUGUUAGGGAAGAACAAGUGCGAGAGUAACUGCUCGCACCUUGACGGUACCUAACCAGAAAGCCACGGCUAACUACGUGCCAGCAGCCGCGGUAAUACGUAGGUGGCAAGCGUUGUCCGGAAUUAUUGGGCGUAAAGGGCUCGCAGGCGGUUUCUUAAGUCUGAUGUGAAAGCCCACGGCUCAACCGGGGAGGGUCAUUGGAAACUGGGAAACUUGAGUGCAGAAGAGGAGAGUGGAAUUCCACGUGUAGCGGUGAAAUGCGUAGAGAUGUGGAGGAACACCAGUGGCGAAGGCGACUCUCUGGUCUGUAACUGACGCUGAGGAGCGAAAGCGUGGGGAGCAAACAGGAUUAGAUACCC
rnacentral:rRNA from 1 species